rnacentral:rRNA from 1 species
UAUCUCUGUAGAGUCUGCAUAUCAAUAAGCGGAGGAAAAGAAACUAACAAGGAUUCCCCUAGUAACGGCGAGUGAAGCGGGAAGAGCUCAAAUUUGAAGUCUUCAAGGUUCUGACCUUGACGAAUUGUAGUUUAUAAGAAGUGUUUUCGGUUAGAUGGAGUAGUCAAAAGUUCUUUGGAAUAGGACAUCAUAGAGGGUGAGAAUCCCGUAUUUGGAUUAUUCAUUCUAGCUUUGUGAUACACUUUCAAAGAGUCGGAUUGUUUGGGAAUGCAGUCCAAAAUGGGUGGUAAAUUUCAUCUAAAGCUAAAUAUUGGCGAGAGACCGAUAGCGAACAAGUACCGUGAGGGAAAGAUGAAAAGAACUUUGAAAAGAGAGUUAAACAGUACGUGAAAUUGUCAAAAGGGAAGCGUUUGACACCAGUGUUGUUUUUCCGAAAAUCAAUUACGAAUGGCUUGAUUUUGUGUUGUAUUGACCUUAUCAGCUUUCUUCACUUUUUUCGAGUCUUUCUUAAUGCACUUUUCGGUUAACAAGUCAACAUCAAUUUCUUUUGUUGUAAAAGAGUAUUCGGAAGGUGGCUUUCUUUUCGGAGAAAGUGUUUAUAGCCCUAUACUUCUACAAUCGGAGAGAUUGAGGUCUGCAGCGUAGAUCCUUCGGGGUUAGAUACAUUUGUGCUAAGUUGUAGCUUUUCAUAGACAACUUGUUGACUAUGUUUAGUCAUGCGGCUUACUCGCUUAUGCUAUUUUACCUACGCUUAGGAUGUUGAAGACUCUACAGAGAUAA